GUGUCUCUAUCAGAGUUUGAUCCUGGCUCAGGAUGAACGCUAGCUACAGGCUUAACACAUGCAAGUCGAGGGGCAGCAUGAAUACUGGCUUGCCAAUAUUUGAUGGCGACCGGCGCACGGGUGAGUAACACGUAUCCAACCUUCCGGUUACUCGGGGAUAGGCUUUCGAAAGAAAGAUUAAUACCUGAUGUUAUUAUGUCCUUGCAUGGGGGUGUAAUUAAAGAUUUAUUGGUAUGCGAUGGCGAUGCGUCUGAUUAGGUAGUAGGCGGGGUAACGGCCCACCUAGCCGACGAUCAGUAGGGGUUCUGAGAGGAAGGUCCCCCACACUGGAACUGAGACACGGUCCAG
rnacentral:rRNA from 1 species